rnacentral:lncRNA from 1 species
GGGCAGGGUGCCUGGCGGGGCAACAGGGCGGAACGAAUUUCGGAACGGGCAAUGCGCCCUGCUGUAAAUAGCUAGCUGGAGCACUGGUUUGAUACCAUGAUUAUCUGACUGCUUUAUAACAACUUUCAGGGGCCUCGGUGGCCAAGGGGUUAAGAUCGCUGACUUCAAUUCACUUGUCCCUCACUGAUGUGGGUUUGAGCCUUACUUGGGGUGUAGAAUUCUUCAUGUGAGGAAGCCAUCCAGCUGACUGAAGUGCGAUCAGUGGUUGUAGGUGCCUGCCCGUAAUGAAAUAGUGGCCUAAUGGGCACCUAGGGUCAUCCUUCACCAUGGAAAGCUGGAAAAGUCACCAUAUAACCUAUACCUUUGUUGGUGUGAUGUUAAAAAGAAAUCUACCAUAAAUACCUAAGAAUAAAACAUUUAUACCUUAAUAUUCUUUCAUCAAAAUGAUAUAAUCAUAAAAUUGUAUAAGAAGUGCUAUAAAUAAUUCUUUUAUAGUUUGAUUUGAUGCCGUUUUAUUUGACAGGUUGCCAUUUAUGUGUACUGCCAGGCCAUAUUGUGUCAGCUUAGGUGGCAAAUGCAGGAAUCUGUAACACAUUUAUUUCCCCACAAAGAGAUAAGAAAAUCUUAAAAGUUGAUUAGUUUAUCUUAUAAUUUAUAUAUUAAUCCCAAUUUGAAGUGAAACAUAUAUUUCAGUAUUAGCAGAGGGGUUGUUAAAAUGUCUAGUACAGACUGGCCGCCUCUCCAUAUCUCAAGUUAACAGAUAUGAUAUCUUGGAGAUAGAUUUGCCAGUCCUCUGUGAUAAUGCUGUAAAGAUGUUCUUAGAUGUUCUCAGAUACUGUUACACAAGAUUGAUUGGAAUAAUCUAAUAACCUGUUUGUGAAGCAGUAAAUUAAAGGACAUUGAACCAAAGUACACACAAAUACCUGAUGCUCCAAAAAAAGUCAAAGAAAUUUGUUUUAAUUGAAGUUACACUUGAAACUGUCAGUCCCAGAUGUCCUGCAAAUAAUGAAAAAUCAUGUAAUGAAAUUACCAGCUCAUCAAAACAAAUUACUUAAUCAUUAACAUUAGUGAUUCACUUUUAAGUUUGGGUUUUACAAUCUAAAGUGAUUAGAAAACCUGCUGUGAUAUAUUUUUAGUGAAUGAGUUGAAAUUAACAUUUUUAAAAUGUUAAGAAGUUGUAAAAUUGACCAAUGUAUUAAGGAUUAUUCUGCUAAUGGGUGACUUCAGGUUAUAUUGUAUUAUAGACAUCAAAGGUUCUGCAACUCUUCGGAUCUUUUGAAGUGAAAACUUUAAGGCAGAAUGAUGACCUAAAAUUUGAUAACUGAAUCUGGCAUCUGCAAGUUCAGAUCUGAUCACCCAUGGAACAAUGCUUUUAAGAUAAGAUCUGGACAAUUUUGGUGAAAUUAAACGGUUCACUUGCUGUAAUGUUUGAAUACUUUCUGUUUCACAAACUGUUACAGAUGUUUUUAAUCAUGCAAUUUCUGACUUGAACCAAAAGAUGUGAAAUUUGUUUUCUUUUUCAACUUUUAAAUUGAUGCUAAAGCAUUUUCUUGAAUGUUAUGGAAACAUGCAUCUCCUGGAGCAGCUGAGAAUGGUUCAUUACUCUCAAAUUCUCCACACUGCCCGGCUGAUGAGUGUCUGCCAAAGAUGGCCAGUGUUUACCAGAUUUAACACUGUUUGGUGGGAUAUCAAUACCAUGUUGGGUGCUUGAUACAGCUUUGCAUUCUUCAAGCAUCAGUCUUGUAACCAUCAAUGUCAGAACAGGGUUUUUUUUUGUCAAAGAGGGUUCCGGUGCCAGGUGCAGAGAGUCAAAAGGGAUCUUGUGAGGCAAAAUUGCACCAACUGAGAGGGAUCCCAUGCAUUAACAAAAUCGAAAGCUGGGCGUUUUUUAAGGAAACGUGAUGCAAUUACCACAUAAAGUGUAUUUACAAACAAGAUGGGAUCAACGGCUUCACAGAUCUAAGAUGAGUGGCAUCCACAUCAGCAUCUAUGUCCAGUUAACAUCCAGGUCAGCAUCUGUGUCCUGUUGGCAACCACAUCAGCAUCUAUGUCCAGUUGGCAUACAGGUCAGCAUCUGUGUUCUGUUGGCAUCCACAUGAGCAUCUGUGUCUUGGUGGCAUCCAGGUCAGCAUCUGUGUCCUGCUGGCAUCCACAUCAGCAUCUAUGUCCAGUUGGCAUCCAGGUGUCCUAGAUAGAUGUGCUAAAUCAAGGAGAAAAUGCCAGGCAUCUGAUCAAGUAAGCUUUCUUCAAAUAGUUCAGUUAAUUGUAAUAGGAACCAAGUGAACAGGUUUUCAAACAGUGAACAUUUAGACAUUUUAGCAUAGAAAUGCUUUACUUGUCCUA